UACGGGGGGGGCAAGCGUUGUUCGGAAUUACUGGGUGUAAAGGGCUCGUAGGCGGUUUGUCGCGUCGGGAGUGAAAACUCAGGGCUCAACCCUGAGCGUGCUUCCGAUACGGGCAGACUAGAGGUAUGCAGGGGAGAACGGAAUUCCUGGUGUAGCGGUGGAAUGCGCAGAUAUCAGGAGGAACACCGGUGGCGAAGGCGGUUCUCUGGGCAUUACCUGACGCUGAGGAGCGAAAGCAUGGGGAGCGAACAGG
rnacentral:rRNA from 1 species